rnacentral:tRNA from 1 species
GGGGAGUUGCCGGAGUGGUCAAACGGAGCAGACUGUAAAUCUGCCGCCCAACGGGCUACGGAGGUUCGAACCCUCCACUCCCCA